rnacentral:rRNA from 1 species
CCUACGGGUGGCUGCAGUGGGGAAUAUUUGGCAAUGGGCGCAAGCCUGACCCAGCAACGCCGCGUGAAGGAAUAAGGCUUUCGGGUUGUAAACUUCUUUUCUCGGGGACGAAGCAAGUAACGGUACCUGAGGAAUAAGCCACGGCUAACUACUUUCCAGCAGCCGCGGUAAUACUUAGGUGGCAAGCGUGAUCCGGAGUUACUGGGUGUAAAGGGCGUGUAGGCGGGGACGAAAGUCAGAUGUGAAAACCACGGGCUCAACCUGUGGACUGCAUUUGAAACUGUGUUACUUGAGUACUGGAGAGGCAGACGGAAUUCCGAGUGUAGCAGUGAAAUGCGUAGAUAUUAGGAGGAACACGAGUGGCGAAGGCGGUCUGCUGGACAGUAACUGACGCUGAGGCGCGAAAGCGUGGGGAGCAAACAGGAUUAGAUACCCUAGUAGUC